GUUUUGUUAGUAUAGGAGUGGGCUCGGCAUGGUUGCAUGAGAUUGUGAAGUUAUUUUCCAUUGUUUUUUAUGUUGAUAUUUUUCAUUUGCAGCCUCAAAUUAGCUUCAAUGUUACUAUAAUUUUUCUUUUUCCAGGUUAUUGAAGAUCCGGACUUAUCUAGGAGAUCUUCGAAGUUUUGUGUUGCAUGAAGCAGAUGAACUUAAGCUCGACGCAUUAUCAUCAAAAGCAGAUGAAGGGAUCUCAUUUCAGUUACCCUGAGAGUUUCCCAUUUCAGGACAAACAAUAAUAUUGGUCACUGAUGGUGUAGUCUUGAGAGCAUUUCACAAAUUUGCUACUCCAACAGUGGAAUUGCCAGGGAAGAUUCAGAAUGCAUCUAUAAACAUCUUUCAAAUAGCUGGUGAGGAAGGGUGGACCAUCAAAACCUGGGGUGACGUUGGCCCUCUAGAACCUGAGUGAGUGAUUGAAUUGCCAGGCAAGAUUCAGAAUGCAUCUCCCAUUGAAACAUAGUGUCCAUGCCAACCAUAAGAAAUAAAAAUGCAAUGCCGUUAGCGUUGCUUGGGAUAAGGUGAGUUUUUUAGACCUCCUAUGAUUGCCGCUUUGGAAGAAUCCUGAUUUCGUCAAAAGAACGGUGGAUAUUUGUCCCAAGUCCCAACAACUGUUCGCUCAUCAAACAGUCGAUUAAACCUCUCUCAUGUCUAUAUUUUAUAUUAUCACUUACAGUCAACUCGAUGAUUUUCUCAGUUCCAGCCACUUUCACUCGCUUAUCUGCUCCAUCUUAUUCUCAUUCUUGUAGUCUCUUCAAAUUUAGCCAUAUUCGUGUAAUCACCGGUACCAUCUUCCCCAAGAGGCAGCAUCAUCGUAGCUGUAGAACGAUGGCUUCUUCAGUACAGCCAGUAGAAUCAGCUGCUAGACAAGAUAAAGUCACUGCUCCUUACGGCUCUUGGAAGUCUCCAAUCACCGCCGAUAUCGUCUCUGGCGCAUCCAAGCGACUCGACGGCACCGCCAUUGACGGCCGCGGUCGCCUUUUCUGGCUUGAAUCCCGACCCACUGAAGCUGGGCGAUCGGUUCUGGUUAAGGGAGAAGAGAAAGCUGGAGAGGAAGCUAUCGAUGUCACCCCGAAAGAAUUUUCGGUGCGAACUACUGCCCAGGAGUAUGGAGGAGGCGCGUUUACGAUAUCAGGGGAUACUGUCAUCUUCGCAAAUUACAAGGACCAAAGACUGUACAAGCAAUCUGUCGAUUCCAUAGAUUCUACUCCUGUUCCAAUUACACCUGAUUGUGGCUCACCAGUUGUCUCUUAUGCCGAUGGAGUCUUUGAUUCACGCUUUAACCGUUUUGUCACUGUAAUGGAAGAUCGCCGUGUAAGCAGCAUAAAUGCAAUUACAACGAUUGUAGCAAUUGGUCUCAAUGAUGCGUCAAUAGAGGAACCAAAAGUAUUAGUUAGUGGCAAUGACUUCUAUGCAUUCCCUCGUGUGGACCCGAAAGGUGAACGGAUAGCAUGGAUAGAAUGGUGUCACCCUAACAUGCCAUGGGAUAAAUCGGAACUCUGGGUUGGCUAUAUUUCUGAGAAUGGAGAUAUCUAUAAACACACCUGUGUUGCUGGCAAUGAUAAUACAAUUGUUGAAUCUCCAACUGAACCCAAGUGGUCCUCUACAGGGGAGUUAUUCUUUAUCACUGACAGAAAAAAUGGAUUUUGGAAUCUAUACAAAUGGAUUGAAUCUGUAAAUGAUGUGCAAGCACUCUAUUCCUUGGAUGCUGAGUUCUCAAGACCAUUAUGGGUAUUCGGCAUAAACUCUUAUGAGCUUAUUCAGAACAAAGAGGGAAAGAACUUAAUUGCUUGCAGCUACAGGCAGAAGGGUAGAUCCUAUCUUGGUAUUCUGGACUGUGCUCAAAGCUCACUUUCUCUGCUUGAUAUUCCCUUCACAGACAUAGAUAAUAUUACUUCAGGGCACCAUUGUCUAUACGUUGAGGGCGCAUCUGCAGUUCAUCCAUCAUCAGUGGCUAAGGUGAAUUUGGAUGACCAAGGAUCCAAAGUAGUUGAUUUCAAGGUUGUUUGGUCAUCAUCACCCGAUAGUUUAAAGUAUACGUCAUAUUUCAGCUUGCCAGAGCUGAUUGAAUUCCCUACUGGAGUUCCUGGUCAAAAUGCAUAUGCAUACUUUUAUCCACCUUUGAAUCCCAUUUACCAUGCUAGUCCAGAAGAAAAGCCUCCAUUGUUGUUGAAAAGUCAUGGAGGACCUACAAGUGAAACGCGCGGAAUUUUGAAUCUGAGUAUCCAGUAUUGGACAAGUCGUGGAUGGGCUUUUGUGGAUGUAAAUUAUGGUGGAAGCACUGGUUAUGGUAGAGAAUAUCGAGAACGCUUAUUAGGAAACUGGGGAAUUGUUGAUGUUAAUGACUGUUGCAGUUGUGCAAAAUUUUUGGUGGAUAGUGGAAAGGCAGAUGGUGGCCGACUGUGUAUAACUGGUGGCUCAGCCGGCGGUUAUACAACCUUAGCUGCCCUUGCUUUUAAAGAAACAUUUAAGGCUGGAGCUUCAUUGUAUGGUGUGGCUGACUUAAGCAUGUUAAGAGCAGAAACUCACAAAUUUGAGUCUCAUUACCUUGAUAAUCUUAUUGGUGAUGAAAAGGAUUACUAUGAGAGGUCUCCAAUAAAUUUUGUUGAUAGAUUUUCUUGCCCCAUAAUUUUGUUCCAAGGAUUAGAAGAUAAGGUUGUACCCCCUGAUCAAGCUCGUACAAUAUACCAGGCACUGAAGAAGAAGGGUUUGCCAGUUGCUCUUGUUGAGUAUGAAGGGGAACAGCAUGGUUUUCGUAAGGCUGAAAAUAUUAAAUUUACGCUGGAACAAGAAAUGGUGUUUUUUGCACGAUUGGUUGGAAACUUCAAUGUUGCAGAUGAGAUUAAUCCAAUCAAAAUUGACAAUUUUGACUGAUCAUGUAUCAAGGAACUUAAGGGAUUUGCUCUUAUAAUUUGACAGCAAUAAAUUGAAUGAACUUGACGAGUUCAUGGCCACUAGCUUGGGCAAUAUCUUACAUUUUCUUUUCUUGCGCUCU
rnacentral:misc_RNA from 1 species